rnacentral:rRNA from 1 species
GUGAGGAAUAUUGGUCAAUGGGCGAAAGCCUGAACCAGCCAUGUCGCGUGAAGGAUGAAGGUCCUAUGGAUUGUAAACUUCUUUUGCAGGAGGGUAAAGUGAGCUACGUGUAGUUCAUUGCAAGUACCCUGCGAAUAAGCAUCGGCUAACUCCGUGCCAGCAGCCGCGGUAAUACGGAGGAUGCGAGCGUUAUCCGGAUUUAUUGGGUUUAAAGGGUGCGUAGGCGGACUAAUUAGUCAGCGGUGAAAUUUUGCGGCUCAACCGUAAAACUGCCGUUGAAACUGUUAGUCUUGAGUGCGGUAGAGGUAGGCGGAAUGUGUGGUGUAGCGGUGAAAUGCUUAGAUAUCACACAGAACACCGAUUGCGUAGGCAGCUUACUGGAGCGCAACUGACGCUGAGGCACGAAAGCGUGGGGAUCGAACAGGAUUAGAUACCCGAGUAGUCC